UGGAACAACUGGGGACUGCCAAGAAGGGGGUCUGUUUAUAAAGAGCAUCAACUCGCUUAGGCCAUGACGUUCACCCAUCCCUUCCUCUGGAGCAACCGCUGCCCUGUGAAUAAGAGCCGAUGGAGGAGAUCUCAGCUUCGGUGGUGAUGACAGAACAUGAUUUCGGUUCUGCUCCUAAACCAGAGCUGACUGAACGAAGUGGACUGCUGGAUUUACUGGAGCCAGGAGAUGGCUGCAUGGCAGACAAGGGUUUCACCAUCGAGAAGCCACUAGCUGAUCGUGGGGCAACGCUGAUUAUACCACCCUUCAAGAUGACAGUUCACUGAAGAGGAUGCUCUGAAAACACAAGCAAUCGCUCGACUUCGAAUCCUCGUAGAAAGAGCAAUAGGCAGAGUCAAGGAAUACCGCAUCUGGGAACGCACUGUCCUUUCACCUUGUCUGCGACAGUCAAUCAGCUGUGGACCGUCUGCUGUGUGAUGACCAACUUCCAGGGACCACUUGAUUUAAAAGGCUACAUCCCUGUUGAAUAGUGUUUCUACUCAAACAUGUACCUAUAAAUAUUAUAAUAUAUAAAUAUUAAAACGAGAGGCACUGAACAUUUGGAGUGGUCCCUUCAUUUUUUCCGGAGCUGUAAUUUUGUACACUGAAAACAUUGUAUAUAUUGAAUGACAUGUAAUGUAAUUGAAUGAGAAGUCUUUCAUCUAUAAUCAAUUUUAAAGUCCAGUCAGUCCAUCCUGAAAGUAUUCAAAAUAAUGUUAAUAUAUAAUGUAGUAAAUGAU
ensembl:lncRNA